GACGAACGCUGGCGGCGUGCUUAACACAUGCAAGUCGAACGGAAAGGCCCUGCUUUUGUGGGGUGCUCGAGUGGCGAACGGGUGAGUAACACGUGAGUAACCUGCCCUUGACUUUGGGAUAACUUCAGGAAACUGGGGCUAAUACCGGAUAGGAGCUCCUGCUGCAUGGUGGGGGUUGGAAAGUUUCGGCGGUUGGGGAUGGACUCGCGGCUUAUCAGCUUGUUGGUGGGGUAGUGGCUUACCAAGGCUUUGACGGGUAGCCGGCCUGAGAGGGUGACCGGCCACAUUGGGACUGAGAUACGGCCCAGACUCCUACGGGAGGCAGCAGUGGGGAAUAUUGCACAAUGGGCGGAAGCCUGGUGCAGCAACGCCGCGUGCGGAAUGACGGCCUUCGGGUUGUAAACCGCUUUCGCCUGUGACGAAGCGUGAGUGACGGUAAUGGGUAAAGAAGCACCGGCUAACUACGUG
rnacentral:rRNA from 1 species